CAGAAUGAGACCUUGAGCGUGG
rnacentral:miRNA from 1 species